ACCGCCGCACCCUCAAAAACAUCAUUACUACUAGCCCCAAACCACAGCACCAACCAAUCCCAAGACCCAUCAGCACCAUAACCGCCCAAGCCCCAACACCGUUACACAACCUCAACCCCUAAUCCCACCACCCACACCAACACCAACGCAAACCUCACAGCCCACGACUUAUAAUCCCAAAAAACCUAUCACCAAAAAUCAACGACACCCUCAAAUCUUGGCAAAAAUCAAUCAAUACCCCUUAAUUUUUAUGGUGGGUAGGUGUGGAGUGUUGACUAUUGAAAUUGAGCAUGUUGAUGUGGCAACAUUAGAGAAGUUAGAACAACAAGGGGUGGAUUGUCAACCCAAAGUCUCCACUAUCCGAAUUAUACAAUCUGCGUCGAAUUGGAUACCUUUAUGCAGAAUUUAAUUUUGCUUUUGUGGACAAUUGCCUUCUUUUUUUUUUUCUAUAGUAGUUUUUGGUUAAUCUUUUGAAUCUAUUAUUGUAGUUACUCUUAUUUAUUUGUAAGUUUUUCACUCCUUUUUGCAAACUACGUGGACUUUUUGAUCUAGUAAUUUGGUAAUCCAUAGAUAUUUUGUUGUGAGAAUUUUGGUAGUGAUAAAUUAAUCUAAGUUAAAUACAAUUAUCUUUAUUAAGAUAUUUCUUUUUUAUAUUUUCUUGUAAUGAAACAGACAGAUAGGUAGUUUGAAUUUUUUUUAUUCAAACAAUUAUCAACUCUGUUUUUGUGAUGAAAUUUGUAUUUUUGGACUAUAUUUUACCUUUUUCAGGAUAAAUUUCUCCAGAAAGUUCAUUUUUCGCGUCAUGGCAUUCCACUUCCUGAUUUUAUGCAGAUAUAUGAUUUUGAAAGUGCGAAGAGAGUUGGCGAACUAUUUGUCUAUCCUCUAAUGAUAAAGAGCAGGAGGCUUGCUUAUGAUGGGCGUGGAAACGUUGUUGCUAAGAGUGAGGAGGAGAUCUCUUUUGCAGUAAAUGUCUUUGGAGGCUAUGAUCGUGCAUUAUAUGUUGAGAAAUGGGCUCCAUUUGUAAAGGUUUACUUCGACUCUGUGCCUUUAAUUUAUCAAACCAUCUGGACAUGCUUAUUUUGAGUUUUUAGACCACAUGAAGAAUUGGUUUUAUGUGACAAUUGCACUGAGUAUGGCUAGAUUGCAAAGAAGGCUUUAGAGGUAAAUGGUCUAUGUUGCAAGCAAUCUUCAGCUCAUUGGUCUCAAGAUCUAUCUAUAUGGAAGCUGGGCUACACCUGAGAAAGACAAGAGCGGGGAUUUGGGAGCAUACAAAGCGGAGUUAUCAGCACCAACUGUUACUAGGCCCUCUAUGUAUUGCUUGAAACGAUGAAAGAACUUGAUAAAUAUUUUUUUUUUCUUGUGUAAUUAUAUUGUGGAUUGUAUGUUUGAAAGGAUUGUGUGUUUGUUUUUGCUAUUCACUGUGUGUUUAGAAGGAUUACAAUAAAAUGUUUGUAAUUACCCAAUUAAUUUUAUAAAUUA